AUUGAACGCUGGCGGCAGGCCUAACACAUGCAAGUCGAGCGGAUGAAGGGAGCUUGCUCCUGGAUUCAGCGGCGGACGGGUGAGUAAUGCCUAGGAAUCUGCCUGGUAGUGGGGGAUAACGUCCGGAAACGGGCGCUAAUACCGCAUACGUCCUGAGGGAGAAAGUGGGGGAUCUUCGGACCUCACGCUAUCAGAUGAGCCUAGGUCGGAUUAGCUAGUUGGUGGGGUAAAGGCCUACCAAGGCGACGAUCCGUAACUGGUCUGAGAGGAUGAUCAGUCACACUGGAACUGAGACACGGUCCAGACGCCUACGGGAGGCAGCAGUGGGGAAUAUUGGACAAUGGGCGAAAGCCUGAUACAGCCAGGCCGCGUGUGUGAAGAAGGUCUUCGGAUUGUAAAGCACGUUAAGUUGGGAGGAAGGGCAGUAAGUUAAUACCUUGCUGUUUUGACGUUACCAACAGAAUAAGCACCGGCUAACUUCGUG
rnacentral:rRNA from 1 species